GGACCCUGAGGUACUUUGGAGGUGAUCAUGGGGAAGUUACUUAAGCGCUUCUUGGUUCCUUGGCCAUGGUUGAAUUUGAAAGCAGCAGAACUUGCGUGGGAAGCCCUCUUUCCCUUUGCUCUUUCUCCAACCCGUGACCCUCCUCCAUUGUCUGACCACUGCACCCAGCCUCUGCUUUGACAGCUGUCUUGCGGGUCCCCGGGAGUGGUCUGGCACCCUCUUGUAUGUCCUUGCAGAAUGACUUGCAUGCUGAUGAUGUGUGCCUGGCUCAGCACAGACAUCUCCCUUCAAUACCUCCGUACCAAGUCCUUGCCUUACCACGCUUUCUGCCUGAAGUUGUUCCCCGCCCCCCCCCCACCCCCCAAAAGGGAAGAAAGACUCGUGAGCAUGUUCCAGAAGGCAUCGAUUGGCCUGCCCUGCCUAGCACAAGGCACUUGCUCAGUCAAUGAUUGGUGAAUAAGUUAACCCUGGCUUGCAUGUGCUCUAGAUGACUCCCGGGGUCUGAUUCCAGCCUGAGUCACCAGAGGAUUCGUGGGGACUAGAGCAAAGGAGAGCCUUGCAUGUUGCCAGAAGGGAGGUAGUUUGAUAUACGUGAGGUGCCGCUGUGCCUGUGUGUUUCGGAGGGACCGGGAGUGGGUGGUGAUGGACCUGUGGCACGGUAUUGCAGGCUGGAGCCAGGACUUGACACGUUGGCAUUACCUGGCUUCUGCACAUCCGCCCUUUAUGAUCCCCAGUACUUGGAAACUUUUCUGGACACACUGAGAAGACUCUCCAAGAGCCAGGCUACCUGUCAAGUUUCCAGGGCCUCCGACCCCUGCUGCCUCUUCUUUUCCUCCCCAGAGUGUGCGGAUAAAGCACCAGAAUCUCUCUGGGGAAGCCUGACCUCACUUGAAAAAGGACCUGUUUGAGAGAGGUGUAUGUGUUGGUGGGGCCGGGAGGUGCCUAGACUUGUAGGGACCUGUAUCGAUGAGAGAAAUGACAAAAAUAAUCUUCUACUCAGUCAAUCCAGCUAAAGAUGCUGCAGUCCCAGGGAAACGUUUAGGAAGGAUCUGCUUUUGUGUUUCUCAUUUGUGAAAAGCAACAACAACAAACAAACAAAGGAAAAGACUCCCAGGCUUCCUGCGGGGAGGGAGCUAUGGGUCCUCCCGGGAGAAAGGGCUGCAGACUGACUGACUGAAGGAGUCCUCAUUGUGGGGGAAGCGAGCUUGCUUCUUUUUCUUUCUUUUCCAUUCCCUGUGCAGACUCACAGCCCUGUGCACUUAAUUCUCCAUGCCUGUGCAUCAGCAUUGCAGUAGACUUUUCCAUAUGCUCCUUCCACUCUGAACAACAGCAUGGAUUGUUAUUUCCAACCUGCUGAGGAAAGAACCGAGGCUCAGAGAAGUGAACUGAGUUGCCCAGAACGUAUUGCCGAUAAGUGGAUGAACCCGAUUAUUUAUUUAUUUAAUGAACAUACUAAGUUAUGCAUUGAGCUACGGAGAGAACAAAGAUGAAUAAAAUGUGUUGGUUCCGGCCAAGAAGAAAUUCAGCGUAGGAGCGGAAGAUAGCAAUUAUACAACAAUAUGAGUGUGGGAGGCGUUUCCUGGCACUUCGCCACCGUGACUUCUCAGCAGGGCUUCGGGGGGAACCAGGAGGUGGCCGUGCCAAAGGCUUUUGACUGAGGGAAAGUCAACCCACCGCCCAGGGUGCCAUGACUGCCCCACGGCAUCUCGGAAGAAGUAGGCCAAAGAUCAUCAGGAAACAGUGGCUUCUGGGUUCACUGCCACAAAGCAAGCUAUGAGGGUUUAUGUUCAGUAGACCACAACCACCUGGACAAAUGAUAACUACAGGUGGGAGCCUGUGCUAGUUGACCUCCCGAAGUCCCUUCCAAAAUGGUAGGUCCAUGAAGAGGACAGAGUGCACCGUUCAGAAAGGCUGGAACUUCCCAACACCCACGGAGAGAGGGACAUUGAUGACAGCUUCUUUCAAGAGCCAGUUUCUUACAUUUGUAGGAGCAAAA